AUGGUUGCCCGUGUCAUAUUUUACACAACACUGCAAAGCGAGCAGGUCUUACCUUUACUGAGGUGUCACAUUUUGAUCUGGAGGACGUUGUGGUUGAUGUGGGCUUUUGGUUUAAAGGAAGCACCAACCGCAAGGGAUUUCUGGCAGAGUUUUGUGAGCUCUUUGAGUCAGAAUACCUGGAAGUCCUACAGCAUGCCUCUGUGCGGUGGUUGAGCCUUGAAACCUGUGUGACCCGC